rnacentral:lncRNA from 1 species
UCGGUGAAGAGACAAGAAAGAAAUAAUCGUCGCACACUUAGUCGGUAGGGAGACGAAGAAGAGGAUUAGUCGGCUAAGCGACGAGGUUCUAUCCCAACACUUACCCUCCAACUCUUGAGUCCGAUUAGAUCCUCUCUCCUUCGAGAGGCGUCUUUUGGACCAAAGCCCAAGGGACAAAGGUGUGAGGCCUGACAGCUGCAAACGUACCAGCUACGGUCCAAAGGCCGCAAGUUUAUAAGCUACAGCAUGCACACGAUCAAAAUGGAUAAUACCUCUUACUGGGAUGAGCUCUCUGUCCAUAUGAGCUCUAGAGUCUCUUGACCAGAAUAAUAUCUAAAUAAUUUUAAAAUCAAUUUAUAUAUUUAUUUUUUUUGAUCAUUUUAUCAUUUAAAAAUAGUUUUUGGAUUUGUUAACCAAACAUACA